UUUUAUUUACCACGUUUGUCUGCUGAGGGGCGCCGCCGGUCGCGACUCGCGAGUUACACAAGCUGCUGCACGCUUGGCGAGAUAUCCAUUCCGCACUUUUCA
rnacentral:lncRNA from 1 species